GAUGGAAGUUUCAGGGAAUAUUAGGUUUUCUGAUCUCUUAGAGAUUCAUUGUCUUUCACACUCACCUUUCUGUUUAAUACCAAAUAAAGAGCAGGACAAACAAUUAUUGGCUGCUAGUGGUUACACAGUGAUCAGCUAUAUUUAACAAAGCUGAGCUUUAAUUACUUGUAGAUGAGAUUUCUAAGAAAAGUAGGAAAAUUCAUCAUUGAGAUGUACAGAAGGACGGAGGAAAGGAAGAUAAGAAUACAGGCUAUACAUUCUGGCAAAGGAAGAGAGCAGGCAUUCCAUCUGCAACUGGGUGAUGUGACUCUAAAGAGAAACCUGGAUCUCUCUAACUAUAGUAUAUCCCAAAGCCAAAAAUCAAUGAAGAUCAUUUUAUAAAGAUGUUCUCCUCCAAGCACCUAAAAAUCCCGG
rnacentral:lncRNA from 1 species